rnacentral:rRNA from 1 species
UACGGAGGGGGCUAGCGUUGUUCGGAAUUACUGGGCGUAAAGCGCACGUAGGCGGACAUUUAAGUCAGGGGUGAAAUCCCGGGGCUCAACCCCGGAACUGCCUUUGAUGACUGGGUGUCUAGAGUAUGGAAGAGGUGAGUGGAAUUCCGAGUGUAGAGGUGAAAAUUCGUAGAUAUUCGGAGGAACACCAGUGGCGAAGGCGGCUCACUGGUCCAUUACUGACGCUGAGGUGCGAAAGCGUGGGGAGCAAACAGG